UACGUAGGGUGCGAGCGUUGCCCGGAUUUAUUGGGCGUAAAGGGCGCGUAGGCGGCUCGGCACGUCCGUUGUGAAAUCGCCCGGCUCAACUGGGCGGGGUCAGCGGAUACGGUCGAGCUUGAGCAAGCUAGGGGGCAAUGGAAUUCCCGGUGUAGUGGUGGAAUGCGUAGAUAUCGGGAGGAACACCAGUGGCGAAGGCGACUCACUGGCCCAUUACUGACGCUGAGGCGCGAAAGCGUGGGGAGCAAACAGG
rnacentral:rRNA from 1 species